GAUAUCCAUCCGAGCCUCUCCCCUUCUCCUCGCAGCCGCGCACCGCCGCCGGUACUCCCGCCGGCGCCGCCCGCGCUCCACCUCCUGUCUCUCCUUUGAUCUGCACCAUACGCCCGGGUCCUCCCUCCUCCGCUUCCCAGGCCUCGCAGCCCCUUCACCUUCCAGCGACCGCGGCGCCAGAUCAGCGGCCCGACUGAGGCGGCGGCGAACCAUAGCCACAACGGGUCGCCGGCGCCCGUCCUCGCCUCGGCUGCCUCCUUGCCUCCUCGGUUUUGCGGCCGUAAGGAGCUGCAUCCGGCCUGGGAUGAGGUCCGGCACAGGGAACCGGCCUGGGGAAAUGGACCGAUGGAGGCCGCGUCGAACCCUAGCCGCAACCGGUCGUUGGCGCCCAUCCCGCGCCGCGGCUGAUCACCCCGAGCUCCCUCCUCGUCUCCUCUGUUUUACGGCCGAAGGAGAUGCAGCCUGCGUGGGACGAGGUUGGACGCAGUGAACCGGCCCGGCGAAAUGACCCACGGGGGCACCAAGCACGGCGAGGACCAGCCUCCUCCUCUUUCUCUUUGACCUCAAUCAAUGACGCUCUCUACCAUACACCGUGGCCUUUGGCAUUGGCUGGCUUCGUGGAACAUUUUUCACUGGAAAACAUCCAAAUCCAAUGUCGAGAAGCUUGGCGUUGACAAGAUCUGAAGCUCUGCACCAGACUCUCAAGCACUAAAGCAGAACGCAACCACCUUGGCCAUUCCUCCGGUGUGCAUGAUUUGACGCUCUCUACCCUACAUGUACAUGAGCUUCUGUACUCCAGCUUUGUUCAUGGACGACUGGCCUGCAAAAACUCACUCCGACACCUCCUGCGUGGCUUCCCCUGCGCCUCUCGUGGCCACUUUUCUCUGACUCCGGCAUAGGUAAUCCACUCAACUGCUCUCCUCUGCUUUCUCUUAUGCUAUGUGUGUCCACAGCCACCGAGCUGUGGGGAAUGCUUGGUAUGGGUUUAGUUCUGCAACACACACAAAAGAACUUUCCAUAGAAGUUUCGCACUGCACUCUGAGUAGUGCAAUCAAGCAUUUGUGUAUUUAUUUGGAAAAAUAUGGAAUCUUUGUAACUCAUGCUGGCCAUUGGGUAAAUGACUUGCUGUUGUUGGUCAAGUACGGGGUCUUUUUUUUACCAAUUGUUGCAUUUUUUUUUGUAGAAAAUGGUCUCUCGCAUGAAAAUGUUCUAUGUUGGAUGAACAAUCCAUAUGCAUGGGUAGUUCAUUGGGCCGACAGCAAUGUGGAUUCUUGAUCUGUAUGGUCUUUGAUGCCAAUAUUUGUGCUUCUUGUGAUUGUCUUGUACUCCCUCCAUUCAUAAAUAUAAGUCUUUUUAGACAUUUCAAAUGGACUACAACAUACGGAUGUAUGUAGACAUAUUUUAGAGUGUAGAUUCACUCAUUUUGCUCCGUAUAUAGUCACUUGUUGGAAUCUCUAGAAAGACAUAUAUUUGGGAAUGGAGGGAGUAGUAAUUAGUGGCACUGUUUUAGUGGAUUGAGCCCAAAGUGCUAGUUUACCUAUCACUAUAUCAAUUAGUGAUGUGAUCAUUGAUUCUUGUUUUGUAUGCAAACCUCAAUGACACUCUACCUGAGCCGGUGGCCCUCGGCAUCGACCUCGGUGUCAUGAAGAACAUCCAAGAUUAUAUGGUCGAGAAGCUCAGCGUCGACAAGAGCAUCAUCCUAGAGCUCUGCAUCAUCCUCUACAAGCAAGUACCGAACCACCAUGGCCAUGCCACUGGCCAUUGUGCACCAAUUUGACGACGAUGAUUUCCACAGCUUUGUUCAUGGAUGGCUGGCUUACAAAAAGCUCACGCCGACGCCUCCGGUGUGGCUUCCCCUACGCCUCCAGCAUAGGGUUCUUGUACAUGCGAAAGUGCAUGAUUUUUCGAUGCUUGUCUAGCUGCAGUUGUCUCCCCAUGUAAUGGCAUCAAGUUCAGAGCGCCCCAACUGCCUCUCCUUCGACCGUGGUUCAGGAGAGCAUGUCUAAAGAAAAGAAAAACCUGGAUAAUCAUGGUUGUUACAGGCCUAGGGAAAUUGAUACACUCAUGGGCCACCUGAUGUUGGUUGUCAAGCUUGUUUGCUGCGACCAUCAGCCGAUGUAUCCUUCAUCAGUGCACGGCCAUGGCGAUGAAAUGCUGCGUUGAUGGGUCUAGUUUCAGAAUUAAGCUAUGUAGUUUGGCUCUGUCAUGUUGCAAUGUCUGUGAAGGAAGGACACAAAGUGCUAGUGCUUCCUGGGCUGUGUAGACCCCAAAUAUUUUUAUUAGCUCAUCUGAGAAGUACUCCCUCUGUUCGUAACUGUAAGUCUUUUUAGAUAUUCCAAUUCGGACUGCAUACGGAGCAAAAUGAGUGAAUGUACACUCUAAAAUAUGUAGUCCAUAUUGACAUCUCUAGAAAGACUUUUAUUUAGGAACGGAGGGAGUAGUUGAUGACAUAAAUAAUCAACUUGGUUUUGGGUCAAAAUAUAUUGCACUGUCUGCAUGCUUCUUUCUAUUUUAACAAAUCUGGUGGAAGCAAUACCAGUGUGAACGUUGCGGUGUAAAAUGUUGUGCAUUAUGGGAAUUUUCUUUCUUGGUUAA